rnacentral:rRNA from 1 species
UACGGAGGGUGCAAGCGUUAAUCGGAAUUACUGGGCGUAAAGCGUGCGUAGGUGGUUGUUUAAGUCUGUUGUGAAAGCCCUGGGCUCAACCUGGGAAUUGCAGUGGAUACUGGGCGACUAGAGUGUGGUAGAGGGUAGUGGAAUUCCCGGUGUAGCAGUGAAAUGCGUAGAGAUCGGGAGGAACAUCCAUGGCGAAGGCAGCUACCUGGACCAACACUGACACUGAGGCACGAAAGCGUGGGGAGCAAACAGG